rnacentral:misc_RNA from 1 species
GUAGGUGAACCUGCGGAAGGAUCAUUAAUUAUCGGUAGUUUACUACUGUUUGAAGGGGGUGGAAAGGUCUCAGGUUCUCCUGGGGUCGAGUACACCCUAUUCUUAACCCUUGACUUUUUGCGCACUCAUGUUUCCUCGGCGGGCUAGCCCGCCGAUUGGACAAACUAAUAACCUAUUCAAUAUUCAAUCAGCGUCUGAAUUAUUUUAAUAAUUACAACUUUCAACAACGGAUCUCUUGGUUCUG